rnacentral:rRNA from 1 species
AGAAUCAACGCUGGCGGCGUGCCUAACACAUGCAAGUCGAACGAGAAAGUGGAGCAAUCCACGAGUAAAGUGGCGCACGGGUGAGUAACACGUGACUACCUACCCUUGAGUGGGGGAUAACCUAGGGAAACCUGGGCUAAUACCGCAUAACACCUACGGGUCAAAGGAGCAAUCCGCUUAAGGAGGGGGUCGCGGCCGAUUAGUUAGUUGGCGGGGUAAUGGCCCACCAAGACGAUGAUCGGUAUCC